rnacentral:snRNA from 1 species
AUCGCUUCUCGGCCUUUCGGCUAAGAUCAAGUGUAGUAUCUGCUAGCAAAAUUUGUCUUAAUCACUUUUUUUUAGCUGGGACAAAAU